rnacentral:snRNA from 1 species
AGCUUUGCCUAGUGGCAGUAUCGUAGCCAAUGAGGUUUAUCCGAGGCGCGAUUAUUGCUAAAAGAAUAUCUCUCUCCAGAGAAUACGUAAAUAUAAAUUGAUAGAGAUUUGUCUGCAGU